UACGUAGGGUGCAAGCGUUAAUCGGAAUUACUGGGCGUAAAGCGUGCGCAGGCGGUGAUGUAAGACAGAUGUGAAAUCCCCGGGCUCAACCUGGGAACUGCAUUUGUGACUGCAUCGCUGGAGUGCGGCAGAGGGGGAUGGAAUUCCGCGUGUAGCAGUGAAAUGCGUAGAUAUGCGGAGGAACACCGAUGGCGAAGGCAAUCCCCGUGGGCCUGCACCUGGACGCUCAUG
rnacentral:rRNA from 1 species